rnacentral:rRNA from 9 species
CGUAGUGAACCUGCGGAAGGAUCAUUG